CCUACGGGAGGCAGCAGUGAGGAAUAUUGGUCAAUGGACGAGAGUCUGAACCAGCCAAGUAGCGUGAAGGAUGACUGCCCUAUGGGUUGUAAACUUCUUUUAUAUGGGAAUAAAAUGUUCCACGUGUGGGAUUUUGUAUGUACCAUAUGAAUAAGGAUCGGCUAACUCCGUUCCAGCAGCCGCGGUAAUACGGAGGUUCCGAGCGUUAUCCGGAUUUAUUGGGUUUAAAGGGAGCGUAGGUGGAUUGUUAAGUCAGUUGUGAAAGUUUGCGGCUCAACCGUAAAAUUGCAGUUGAAACUGGCAGUCUUGAGUACAGUAGAGGUGGGCGGAAUUCGUGGUGUAGCGGUGAAAUGCUUAGAUAUCACGAAGAACUCCGAUUGCGAAGGCAGUUCACUGGACUGCAACUGACACUGAGGCUCGAAAGUGUGGGUAUCAAACAGGAUUAGAUACCCCAGUAGUC
rnacentral:rRNA from 1 species